GACGAACGCUGGCGGCGUGCUUAACACAUGCAAGUCGAACGGGAUUUAGUAAACGGAAGCCUCGGUGGAAGAUUACUAAUGAGAGUGGCGAACGGGUGAGUAACGCGUGAGCAACCUGCCUAUGACAGUGGGAUAGCCUCGGGAAACCGGGAUUAAUACCGCAUAAAAUCGUAGAAACACAUGUUUCAACGGUCAAAGAUUUAUCGGUCAUAGAUGGGCUCGCGUCUGAUUAGCUAGUUGGUGAGAUAACAGCCCACCAAGGCGACGAUCAGUAGCCGGUCUGAGAGGAGGAACAGCCACAUUGGAACUGGGACACGGUCCAAACUCCUACGGGAGGCAGCAGUGGGAAUAUUGCACAAUGGGGGAAACCCUGAUGCAGCGACGCCGCGUGAACGAAGAAGGUAUUCGUAUCGUAAAGUUCUGUCCUAUGGGAAGAUAAUGACAGUACCAUAGAAGAAAGCUCCGGCUAAAUACGUG
rnacentral:rRNA from 1 species